rnacentral:rRNA from 1 species
AAACAUGUCUUGUUGAUUCUAUAAUAUUAAGUCUAGCCUGCUCAAUGAUUAAAGUAUUUAAUAGCCAUAGUAUUCUAACUAUGCAAAGGUAGCAUAAUAAUUUGUCUUUUAAUUCGAAGGCUUGAAUGAAUGGCUGGAUGAGGGAUAAACUUUCUUAAUCUAAAUUAUUUUGAAUUUAAUUUUUAAGUAAAAAAGCUUAACUUUAGUUGUGGGACGAGAAGACCCUAUAGAAUUUUAUUUCUUACAAUAAUUUUUGUCUUUAGGAUUUAAAUAUUAAUUAAUUGAUAAGGUUAUAAAAAGGAAUUUGGUUGGGGUGAUUGUGGAAUUUAAUAAACUUCCAUUCUUUAAAUUUCAAAAAUUAUUGUUUAAUUGAUCCUUUAUUAUGGAUUAUAAGAUUAAAUUACCUUAGGGAUAACAGCGUAAUUUCUUUGGAGAGUUCUUAUCGAUAAUGAAGUUUGCGACCUCGAUGUUGGAUUAAAGUAAAUUAUUAGUGCAGAAGCUAAAUAUUUGGGUCUGUUCGACCCUUAAAUCUUUACAUGAUCUGAGUUC